rnacentral:rRNA from 1 species
AUUGAACGCUGGCGGCAGGCCUAACACAUGCAAGUCGAGCGGAUGAAGGGAGCUUGCUCCUGGUUUCAGCGGCGGACGGGUGAGUAAUGCCUAGGAAUCUGCCUGGUUGUGGGGGAGAACGUCCGGAAACGGGCGCUAAUACCGCAUACGUCCAGAGGGAGAAAGGGGGGGAGCUUCGGACCUCACGCUAUCAGGUGAGCCUAGGUCGGAUUAGCUAGUUGGUGGGGUAAAGGCCUACCAAGGCGACGAUCCGUAACUGGUCUGAGAGGAUGAUCAGUCACACUGGAACUGAGACACGGUCCAGACUCCUACGGGAGGCAGCAGUGGGGAAUAUUGGACAAUGGGCGCAAGCCUGAUCCAGCCAUGCCGCGUGUGUGAAGAAGGUCUUCGGAUUGUAAAGCCCUUUUAGUUGGGAGGAAGGGCAGUAAGUUAAUACCUUGCUGUUUUGACGUUACCAACAGAAUAAGCACCGGCUAACUUCGUG